rnacentral:rRNA from 1 species
UACAUGGGGUGCAAACGUUGCUCGGAAUUAUUGGGCGUAAAGCGCGCGUAGGCGGUUACUCAAGUCGGAUGUGAAAGCCCUCGGCUUAACUGAGGAAGUGCACCCGAAACUGAGUAGCUAGAGUACUAAAGAGGGUCGCGGAAUUCCCGGUGUAGAGGUGAAAUUCGUAGAUAUCGGGAGGAACACCGGUGGCGAAGGCGGCCUUCUGGACCAGUACUGACGCUCAUGCACGAAAGCGUGGGGAGCAAACAGG